UUUUCUUUUCCCGGCUUCUGGUUUUAUCAAUGAGUGUAGUUUGGUGUUGCUAACGGAUUAGUAAAUAUUCUAUCACUCUGGUUGCCAAGUGUUUUCGGCCAACAAAAACACUAACAGCUCGUUCACCUUUUACUUCAAUGACAUCUAAAUAUACGUAACAAUUUUGCCAUUUCCAUCAAAUCCAGAGAAUCUCAGACAUUUUCACAAUUUCAAGUCUAACCACCGUAUUGUGGUUAUGACACAAAAUGAAUUCAUUUCCCGAUUUAGAUGAAGCGGCAACUAAGAUACAGAGAAAAUGGCGUUCUUUUAUUGAUCAGCAAAUUUUUAAAUACUAUAAAGAUAUACUAAAUUUUAAAAACUGUGGAAAUCCUGCUCUCAUGCUCCAGUGCAUUAACCCCAUUGAAGCAGAUUUAUUGGAUGCUGCGUCAGGUAACAAAGUCCGAUUCAGGUUAGGUGGGAGUAGUUUCCCUCCAAAUGUUUACUACAAGAUAUAUACGGAAAGGAAUAUUAUUGACGUCUGUGCUAUCAGUCCAAAAAACUAUUGUACCAACAACAUGAAAUUACCUCUCGCACUAUAUUCUAAUAAUAAACAAUAUGACAUUUUUCUUGCUCCAAAAAACGAUAUGAGUGACUGGUAUCGGCGUACUGAAAACAACGGCUGGAGACUGGUGUCUGGGCGCAUCCUUUACCAUUACAAAAACGAUCGACUGACUUUGGAAUCGUCGCAAACAAAGUAUUUAUUUCACCCCAGUAAGCUCAAGAGAAAACAAAAUGCUGAACAAAGGAAGAAAUUACUUCAAAUAGAAUGGAAGAAAAAAUUGUACAGAGGUGACUUUGAGAAAUUAUCUUCCGAGGAAGACCACUGUGAAGCGAAUAAUCUGCUUGAUUGGGUUGAGGCAUUGGAUUUUGAAGGAUAUAUAAAAGAUUGGAAGUUUAUUGGGACAACAAAAUCAGGCACAAGUAUUUGUGAACUUGGUACAACUUCAGUCAGUAGUCAUGCGAUCAACAACAAUGUUGUAUAAAUAUUUUAGUGACCUGCUGAAAACAAUUAUGUACCGAUAAUGCAAUAAUAAAGCAUUUUCACUAUGGCCAUGUU